rnacentral:rRNA from 1 species
AACGAACGCUGGCGGCGUGCCUAACACAUGCAAGUCGAACGGAACCUCCCGGCUUUUUUGCGCUCGUGUGCUUGCGGCCUGGGAACUUGCCCUUAGGUUAGGUACACUUCCCUGUAGGGGGAGCUAAUAACGCUUAAUCUCAUCCGACAUAGGAUCUCUUGCUUUGGGAUGGGGCCGGGUUAGAUUCGCUGGUUGGUAGUGUAAUAGCCUAUCAUGGCGACGAUCCAUGGCUGGUCGGUGAGCAGGAUUAGCCACACUGGGAAUGCGACACGGCCCAGACUCCUACGGAAGGCAGCAGUGUGGAAUAUUGUACGAUGGGCGAAAGCCUGAUCCAGCAAUGCCGCGUGAGUGAUGAAGGCGGUAGGGUUGUAAAGCUCUCUGACCCGGGAUGAUAAUGACAGUACCGGGAGAAUAAGCUCCGGCUAACUCCGUG